rnacentral:rRNA from 1 species
UACGUAGGGUGCGAGCGUUGUCCGGAAUUAUUGGGCGUAAAGAGCUCGUAGGCGGUGUGUCACGUCGGCCGUGAAAACCUGCAGCUUAACUGUGGGCGUGCGGUCGAUACGGGCAUCACUGGAGUUCGGCAGGGGAGACUGGAAUUCCUGGUGUAGCGGUGAAAUGCGCAGAUAUCAGGAGGAACACCGGUGGCGAAGGCGGGUCUCUGGGCCGAUACUGACGC